rnacentral:rRNA from 1 species
ACGCUCGACACCUACGGGAGGCAGCAGUGGGGAAUAUUGCACAAUGGGGGGAAACCCUGAUGCAGCGACGCCGCGUGGAGGAAGAAGGUCUUCGGAUUGUAAACUCCNGUUGUUGGGGAAAAAGAGGAUGGUACCCAACAAGGAAGUGACGGCUAACUACGUACCAGCAGCCGCGGUAAUCUGAGGCGGGCUGGCAAGGC